rnacentral:tRNA from 1 species
AGUUUAGUACAUGUGACUUCCAAUCACCUAGCCUUGGUUAAAAUCCAAGGAAAGAUA